CGAUGCCUCCGCUCUAAUGCUGAGAAGAAGGAAAUGUGUUUUGAUGAGGCGCUCAUUGUGCAGCAGCUGCGGUACACGGGCAUGUUGGAAACAGUGCGCAUCAGACGGUCAGGUUAUGGAGCCAAAUACACCUUUCAGGAGUUUACUGAGCAGUUUCGUGUGUUACUACCAAAUAAUUCUGCAUCCCUGGAGGAUAUAUCAUCUUUAUUGCACAGGCUUGGCUUUGACCACACUACCUACCAGAUUGGAAAAACCAAGGU